rnacentral:rRNA from 1 species
GAUGAACGCUGGCGGCGUGCCUAAUACAUGCAAGUCGAGCGAAUGGAUUAAGAGCUUGCUCUUAUGAAGUUAGCGGCGGACGGGUGAGUAACACGUGGGUAACCUGCCCAUAAGACUGGGAUAACUCCGGGAAACCGGGGCUAAUACCGGAUAACAUUUUGAACCGCAUGGUUCGAAAUUGAAAGGCGGCUUCGGCUGUCACUUAUGGAUGGACCCGCGUCGCAUUAGCUAGUUGGUGAGGUAACGGCUCACCAAGGCAACGAUGCGUAGCCGACCGGGGAGGGUGAUCGGCAACGCGGGGACGGGGACACGGCCCAGACUCCGACGGGAGGCAGAAGAAGGGAAUCUGACGCAAGGGAGGAAGGUCUGACGGAGCAACGCCGCGUGAGUGAUGAAGGCUUUCGGGUCGUAAAACUCUGUUGUUAGGGAAGAACAAGUGCUAGUUAAAUAAGCUGGCACCUUGACGGUACCUAACCAGAAAGCCACGGCUAACUACGUGCCAGCCGCCGCCGUAA